rnacentral:rRNA from 1 species
UCCGUAGGUGAACCUGCGGAAGGAUCAUUAUUGAAUGUCGCCUCGAUGGGUUGUCGCUGGCUGCAACUGUAGCAUUGUGCACGCCUGUCUUGACUUCUAUUCGUCCACCUGUGCACCUUUUGUAGUCUUUCGGAGGGCUGGGGAGAGCAUGUCUGUGCUCGAACCUCCCACUGGGGGCUAUGUUUUCUCUUCAUAUACCACUUUGCAUGUCACAGAAUGUUGUCAAUGGGCGUUCGUGCCUAUAUAAAAUCUAUACAACUUUCAGCAACGGACCUCUUGGCUCUCGCAUCGAUGAAGAACGCAGCGAAAUGCGAUAAGUAAUGUGAAUUGCAGAAUUCAGUGAAUCAUCGAAUCUUUGAACGCACCUUGCGCUCCUUGGUAUUCCGAGGAGCAUGCCUGUUUGAGUGUCAUUAUAUUCUCAACCCCACUAGCUUUUGCUGGCUGGGGCUUGGAUUGUGGGGGUCUUGCUGGCCUAGUCAGCUCCCCUGAGAUGCAUUAGCGGAACCGUUUGCGAUCCGUCACAGGUGUGAUAAUUAUCUACGCCAGUGGGUUGCUUACUGUCUGUCCAGCUCACAACCGUCCCUCUUUGGGACAACUGUAAUGAACGUUUGACCUCAAAUCAGGUAGGACUACCCGCUGAACUUAAGCAUAUCAAUAAGCGGAGGAA